rnacentral:rRNA from 1 species
UACGUAGGGGGCAAGCGUUGUUCGGAAUUACUGGGCGUAAAGGGCGCGUAGGCGGCACGGCAAGUCGGGAGUGAAAGCCCGGGGCUCAACCCCGGAGGGUCUUCCGAAACUGCCGGGCUAGAGUGCGGAAGAGGCAACCGGAAUUCCCAGUGUAGCGGUGAAAUGCGUAGAUAUUGGGAAGAACACCGGAGGCGAAGGCGGGUUGCUGGGCCGACACUGACGCUGAGGCGCGAAAGCCAGGGGAGCAAACGGG